rnacentral:tRNA from 1 species
GGGCCUAUAGCUCAGUUGGUUAGAGUAGAAGACUCUUAAUCUUUACUUGCAUUGGACGUUUGCAGUGCCUA